AAAAAAAAACCCUUGAUCCUCACAGCCAAAUAGGCCCUUAACGUCUACAGACCAAACGACCUUCUUCUUCAACACAAAACGAUGCCCUUUUCUUCUGAUUUCCACAACAAUGACCGACCAAACGACCCCUUCCACUCAUUUUCUCAAUCGUACGCAUACAGCCUGGCACCAACGGCUCUAUUGGAUACAAUUUUUAUUUGUUUGUGACUGGUUGGUACCAUUUGCUUCGCUGUCAUUAUUCUUAGUACUAUACUUGCAAAAAUCUAGGGAUUUUUGGUACGAAUUGGGUAUGUUUUGGUGGAAUCUGUGGUCUUAUUUUUUUUGAUUUCAAAAUUUGGAUAAGGUAAGGAUUUUGGGGGGAAACAAGGGAAAAAAUGAAGAAUCCCACAUCGGUUGAGCAGAAUUUGGGGUCAUCCUCUUGGUUCUAUAAAUAGAAACCAUGCUUAUUGCAUUUAGGGGGAUGAACAAUGGGUUGAGACCGAAAUUUUUGCUCUUUAUAUCACAAAAAGGGUUUUUUAUAACCCUAAGAGUGAGAACACUAGAUUUCGAGGACGUUCUCACUCAAGUAUAAUUUUUGCAAGUCGUUUCCAUUCAUUGGAAAUUGAUUCGAUGUGAAAAGAUUUCAUCGACACUCGUUGCCCCCGUCACUGCUCGUCAAAAAGCAUAAAUUAGAGGGUUCUCAAAAUCCCAAAUGGUCCUUCUGAGCUGCUGCUGAACUCAAGUUCAUGUUGAGAUUGUUGUUUGUGCCUUUGGACCAAGUCUUGAGCCAAUUUGUGGCUUCAUGCUUGGCUGCACCAGAAGAAAGGUGUUCUUUGCUAUACAUAACUCCUGAUGCUACUGCAUCUUGAGACAUGACUGAUUUUGGCAUUUGUAACCCCAUCCCAAGGCUAUACACAGAUGUUGUUUGUGGUUGUUGUUUUCCCUAGGAUAAUCUGGUUCAUUUUGAAUGUGUUACUGAUCAUCAUUUUGCUGCCUUCUUUAAAGAGCAUUCCAAUGCCAUGAUUGAAGCUGACUCUUACACUUUGUGUGAUUGAGCUCACAGAAUCAUAAAUCUCUGGUUUUGAAAAUACGACAUUUUGGGGAAAACAACUAUGAAGUAUUAGGAAAGGAAUUAUGCCUUGGAGUAGUAAAUAUUUAACUUUUGAAAACGAGGAAGAUAUGGAAACAUUUAUGAAGCCAUAGCAUCAGAAUCAUGCCUUUAGAAGCUCAAUAACAUUAUAAGGAUCACGAAAUUCAUGGACUUCUAGCAUUUGCGGAAACAAUGAUAUUAUGAGUACGAUACAAAGAUUUAUAACGAAAGAAUCAUGCCUUUAGAAAGAAGGGGACUAGCCUUAACAUACCUGGAAGAUAAUUUAUCGACUUCCAACUUACUUCCAGUUUUGCAAUUCACUUAAGAUCAUUGAUAGCCUCGUAAUAUACAUAUACAACCAUUCAUACUAUUAUUAGAAUCAUCCUCAUACGCUCGUCUCGAAACUUUAAUUAAAAUCCUUUUAGAUUCUGUCGAAAUUCGGGCAGCAUCUCCCCUGUUUAUAUGCCUAGCCCGAAAUCAAAAUAUCAAUAACCAAUCAACAACAACAAUACCAACGUCAUCAACACCAUUAUCCAUACCAAUAUACUUCCUAAAACAUCCCACACGAUGUCUUCUAAAUUUCUCAACUAACCAACUUGUGAUACGACUAUUUAAUAACUUUAUUUCCGUAAAGAAGCCGAAAUUAAUACCAACAACAUCCUCAACAUCCUACAAGAUAAAUAUAUAUAUUUUCAUCUAAAUUUCUCUUCAACCCUCAAUCCAUAAAUCAACAACAUCAACACAACAACCAUAACCUCUAUUCUUGAAAUUAUUCCUUAAUUCAUAUUGAUAAAGAAAGAGAUUCAACAAUUCAUACCUUAUUUUUAUGAAGGUAGCAAAAUCUUCAUCAUUUUCUUGUCCCCAAGAUAACUCCAACACCAAACGAAAUUAUAAUCGCGUCUACGCGUUGCCCGGACCUCGAUUGAUAUUCCGUAGCUUGAAAUUUUACUCAAAAUUUUCAAUUCUAUAUGAGAUUUAAGAGCCCUUUGAUGGCUGAACUUUCUGGAAAUUUUCAGAGGUUUUUUUGAUGAAGAAAAAUGGGGGUUUGCCCCUUUUUAUAAGAGCUGAGGCGGCGUCACUGUAGCUACAGUACUGUAGCAGUACUGUAGCACCCGGUUUCUGCGUCGACAGCUCAGUUUGUAACGUCUAUAAUUCUCUACUCCGAUGUUCUAUCUACGAGAGGUUUGUUGCAUUAGAAACUAGACUCGACGAACUUCAUUUUAGGCUUUUGAAAAGCCUUAAAACUCCAAAUAUACAUGGAGAUAUACCCCUCCAAAGUUGACUAAAAAUCUGCCCAGCAUUUCUCAAAUUUUCGUCGAACUUAUUUUCUUCAAUUUUCUUGACCUCGAAAUCUUCCGAAACUCUCCAUACAUGAUAUUUAUCAUUCAUUAUACUAAUAAUGGCCAUGUUCUCGUGUUUCAAAAUAGUCUUUCCCGAUUACGACUUGCGAGAUCAUAAUCAUCCUUUACUUCAUUGUUACAUACUUUCCAUGGCUUGUACCUUCCGAAACAUCAUGGGAUGUCUCCGACACUCCAUUACUACGGUGAUGUACAUGUCAUGCUCAUGCUCUGAAAGUGCGGGGUGUAACAUCCGGAAAGGUUCUAUCCCACGGUGGGCAAUGAUGAUCAUAGUCUAGUUAUAAAAUAGGAACCAACAUGCGCUUGGCGAGGCAAUAGAAUGACUGAAGGGUUGCUAUUUCGCAGCCAUGACAUGUUCAGGGGUCCUUUUUCCCAUAUUUGAAAGAAGCAUGAUUCUGAGCCUUUAGUAAUCAAAGCUCCCACAUUUUGAUGCGAAACCGAGGGAUAUUAUAUUUUCAUAAACGUCAACCCGUGGGGUGGCGUAUCCUUUUUACUAAUCAUUCUCGUUUCUAUUCUUGCGAGGUACGAAUAAACAAGUUCAGGGAAUACUACAAGGACGAAUAUUGCACAGUUGGAGCAUACAUAUGGAAUCCAAGCAAUAUGGAAUGACAAGAAGAGAAGUAGUAGGAGACAAGGAAAAGACUUGGACAUUUGGAGCUUUCAGACGAAGAAUAAAGAAAGCACAGAAUUGCAAAAAAAGGUCUAAGAAUGCGAGGAGAUAGGCUUAUCCGAUUAACCUUUCUCCACCUUCAUUCUCUCCCUCUCUUUAGUUAUUUUGAAAAUAUUAUGUUUACUUGUUUUAUUUAAGUAUUGUUGGAACCUUUAUAGAUUAGAACUUAUGAUUUAGGGUUGCUAAAACCGAUUUUCAAAGCCAUGUAUAAAACAGAUGUGAAAUACGAAUUACUCUUAAUAUAAGCUUGGUUUUCAUAA